rnacentral:rRNA from 1 species
GAUGAACGCUGGCGGCGUGCCUAAUACAUGCAAGUCGAACGCUUCACUUCGGUGAAGAGUGGCGAACGGGUGAGUAAUACAUAAGUAACCUGGCAUCUACAGGGGGAUAACUGAUGGAAACGUCAGCUAAGACCGCAUAGGUGUAGAGAUCGCAUGAACUCUAUAUGAAAAGUGCUACGGGACUGGUAGAUGAUGGACUUAUGGCGCAUUAGCUGGUUGGUAGGGUAACGGCCUACCAAGGCGACGAUGCGUAGCCGACCUGAGAGGGUGACCGGCCACACUGGGACUGAGACACGGCCCAGACUCCUACGGGAGGCAGCAGUAGGGAAUUUUCGGCAAUGGGGGAAACCCUGACCGAGCAACGCCGCGUGAAGGAAGAAGUAAUUCGUUAUGUAAACUUCUGUCAUAGAGGAAGAACGGUGGAUAUAGGGAAUGAUAUCCAAGUGACGG